rnacentral:snRNA from 1 species
CCGGUCGUACUCAUAACC